AGCUGCAGAAGUGAACUUUAAGCAAGCGAACCCAGCGCUUAAUAUGGUGUAUAUUUCCUUUCCUAGGGAGGAGAUUUGCCCAGCCUAACAGAUGUACGCAGGCCCAGGCUUUACCUCCUACAGUGGCUUAAAUCUGAUAAAGCAUUGAUGAUGCUCUUUAAUGAUGGCACAUUUCAAGUGAACUUCUAUCACGAUCACACAAAAAUCAUCAUUUGCAAUCAGAGUGAGGAGUAUCUCCUUACCUACAUCAAUGAAGACAGGAUAUCAACAACGUUUCGUCUGACAACUCUUCUGGUUUCAGGAUGCUCACUGGAACUAAAACAUAGAAUGGAAUAUGCUCUGAACAUGCUACUGCAGCGAUGUAACUGAAGGGACUGACUCCGUUAAACCAUACGGACCCUCUUGUUCACUGUGAAAUCUACAGUGGGGAUAUUGAAGCAACUAGUAUGUUAAUGGGGAUAUGUGGUGGUACGAAAACCUGACUGUCAUAGUGUGCUGGGCACACUUCUGUUACAGACGCCUGAUCCUACUGUUGGACUAAAAUGGUGUGACAAGGAGUUCUUCGGACCGUAGUUUUCCUUGCUUCAUGUGUGUGUUAAAGAUAUCUUUGACUUGAAUUCUGAGCAGAGCGUGACUUCUUGCUCCUCUAUAAGAGAGCAUUUUUGAUGGAGUUAAACUGUGAAUAUGCAUCUGGAAAGGGAGGGAAGGGCAAAAUCCAUGGUUAUGGAAUAGCUGUAAUAAGCAGCUUCUGGCUGCUUAACUGUGAACUAUGGCCAUACUUUUUUCUUUUUUUUUUUUUCUAGAAACUACCCACACUUGUGGCUGGCAAAGUGCAUUCCUUCUUAAUAACUUUUUUAUUUAUUACAGCCCAAAGUGAAGUAUUUAUUACACUAAUUUUUUUUUCUUUUUUUCUUUUUUUUUUUUGAUCUUGACAUUUUGAAUAUAACUCUAUUGGAAAUAAAGUGAAUGGAAAACCUGAA